rnacentral:rRNA from 1 species
GCCCUCGUUUUUCUGACCGUAGGGAGGUUGAGGAACAAGGGCUGGGCAAGACCGGUGCCAGCCGCCGCGGUAAUACCGGCAGCACAAGUGAUGACCGCUGUUAUUGGGCCUAAAGCGUCCGUAGCUGGCCGGACAAGUUCAUCGGGAAAUCUGCGCGCCUAACGGGCAGGCGUCCGGUGGAAACUGCCUGGCUUGGGACCGAAAGACCAAAGGGGUACGUCUGGGGUAGGAGUGAAAUCCCGUAAUCCUGGACGGACCACC